UAAUACGAAGGGGGCUAGCGUUGUUCGGAAUUACUGGGCGUAAAGCGCACGUAGGCGGAUUGUUUAGUGAGGGGUGAAAUCCCAGGGCUCAACCCUGGAACUGCCUCUCAUACUGGCAAUCUCGAGUUUGGGAGAGGUGAGUGGAAUUCCGAGUGUAGAGGUGAAAUUCGUAGAUAUUCGGAGGAACACCAGUGGCGAAGGCGGCUCACUGGCCCAAAACUGACGCUGAGGUGCGAAAGCGUGGGGAGCAAACAGG
rnacentral:rRNA from 1 species